GACGAACGCUGGCGGCGUGCCUAAUACAUGCAAGUCGAACGCAGUGGGGACGGGUGAGUAACACGUGGGUAACCUCCCAUCAGAGGGGAUAACACUUGGAAACAGGUGCUAAACCGAUACUGAUGGAUGGACCCGCGGUGCAUUAGCUAGUUGGUGAGGUAACGGCUCACCAAGGCCACGAUGCAUAGGCGACCGGAGAGGGGCGACGGCCAAACUGGGAAUGAGAAACGGGCCAGACUCCUUCGGGAGGGAGAAGUAGGGGAUCUUCGGCAAUUGACGAAAGUCUUACCGGGCAACGCCGCGGGAAUGAAGGAGGUUUUCGGAUCGUAAAGCUCUGGUGUUAAGGAAGCGGUACUUAACCAGAAAGGGACGGCUAACUACGUGCCAGCAGCCGCGGUAAUUC
rnacentral:rRNA from 1 species